rnacentral:rRNA from 1 species
GGAUAACCUACCCUUAGGACCGGGAUAACCUUGGGAAACUGAGGAUAAUACUGGAUAGGCAAUUUUUCCUGUAAUGGUUUUUGUUUAAAUGUUUUUUCGCCUAAGGAUGGGUCUGCGGCCGAUUAGGUAGUUGGUUAGGUAACGGCUUACCAAGCCGUUGAUCGGUACGGGUUGUGAGAGCAAGAGCCCGGAGAUGGAACCUGAGACAAGGUUCCAGGCCCUACGGGGUGCAGCAGGCGCGAAACCUCCGCAAUGUGAGAAAUCGCGACGGGGGGAUCCCAAGUGCCAUUCUUAACGGGAUGGCUUUUCAUUAGUGUAAAAAGCUUUUGGAAUAAGAGCUGGGCAAGACCGGUGCCAGCCGCCGCGGUAACACCGGCAGCUCUAGUGGUAGCAAUUUUUAUUGGGCCUAAAGCGUCCGUAGCCGGUUUAAUAAGUCUCUGGUGAAAUCCUGUAGCUUAACUGUGGGAAUUGCUGGAGAUACUAUUAGACUUGAGACCGGGAGAGGUUAGAGGUACUCCCAGGGUAGAGGUGAAAUUCUGUAAUCCUGGGAGGACCGCCUGUUGCGAAGGCGUCUAACUGGAACGGUUCUGACGGUGAGGGACGAAAGUUAGGGGCGCGAACCGGAUUAGAUACCCGGGUAGUCCUAACUGUAAACGAUGCGGACUUGGUGUUGGGGUGGCUUUGAGCUGCUC